GACGAACGCUGGCGGCGUGCUUAACACAUGCAAGUCGAACGAUGAAGCCGGAGCUUGCUCUGGUGAAUUAGUGGCGAACGGGUGAGUAACACGUGAGUAACCUGCCCUUGACUCUGGGAUAACUGCUAGAAAUGGUAGCUAAUACCGGAUACGACCCUCGGAGGCAUCUCCAGGGGGUGGAAAGAAUUUCGGUCAAGGAUGGACUCGCGGCCUAUCAGCUAGUUGGUGAGGUAAUGGCUCACCAAGGCGACGACGGGUAGCCGGCCUGAGAGGGUGACCGGCCACACUGGGACUGAGACACGGCCCAGACUCCUACGGGAGGCGGCAGUGGGGAAUAUUGCACAAUGGGCGCAAGCCUGAUGCAGCAACGCCGCGUGAGGAAUGACGGCCUUCGGGUUGUAAACCUCUUUUAGUAGGGAAGAAGCGAAAGUGACGGUACCUGCAGAAAAAGCACCGGCUAACUACGUGCCAGCAGCCGCCGCAG
rnacentral:rRNA from 1 species